UCUCGAUAGCGUAAAAGUUAACCAAAAUUGGUAUGGAGUUGAAACGUUUGCCUACGUUUGCCGCUAUGGGCGCUGUUCCAACUCCAUACAAAAUUGAAUUAACUUUUACGCUAUCGA
rnacentral:pre_miRNA from 9 species